UGUGUUUGUGUGUAUGUGUGCAUGUGUAUGUGUGUGUGUGUGUCUGAGAGAGAGAGAGACAGACAGACAGACAGACAGACAGACAGAGACAGAGAGA
rnacentral:miRNA from 1 species